rnacentral:rRNA from 1 species
AUUGAACGCUAGCGGCAUGCCUAACACAUGCAAGUCGAACGAGUGGCGGACGGGUGAGUAAUAUAUCGGAACGUGCCCAGUAGCGGGGGAUAACUACUGGAAAGAGUGGCUAAUACCGCAUACCAUUCGAUCAGCCGAUAUCGGAUUAGCUAGUUGGUGGGGUAAAGGCUCACCAAGGCAACGAUCCGUAGCUGGUCUGAGAGGAUGACCAGCCACACUGGGACUGAGACACGGCCCAGACUCCUACGGGAGGCAGCAUUGGGGAAUAUUGGACAAUGGGGGCAAGCCUGAUCCAGCCAUGCCGCGUGUAUGAGAAGGCCUUCGGGUUGUAAAGUACUUUUGGCAGGGAAGCGGUAUCUGCAGAAUAAGCACCGGCUAACUACGUGCCAGCAGCCGCGGUAAUAC